CGAUCCCGCAGCACGGCCGGGCCGCGCUGCCCCCGGCGGCCUCACCACGCCCGCCUCUCCCCCGCGGCUCGGCACAGCGGCCGCCGGGCCACGGGGGAGUCCCACCGGGGUCUUUGUCCCUUGGAGGAACUGCGAUCAAAAAACAUUGUGCUUUAGCGGACUCAAGGUGCUGCACACGUGGCAGUAAAGGUUCCCGUGUGGUCGUCGGGAUACUGAGCUGUAAAUCUGGUUGCUACUAAAAACCAAACGCCGCUGACAGAUUCCGAGGGCAUUGCGUUCCACCCAGCUACACUGGUACUGAGGCCAACAACUUCUGCUUGUGUUCAGCUAGAGCAACAUUUCUCCUUAUGGAAAGUAUUUUGGUUUUCCUUUCUCUGCUGGAAGAAACUGAGCAACUGCUGCCAGCUCCAGGGAACAUGCAUUGGCGAGUACUGUAUUUCCAGAAAGUUCUUCCAUAAAGAUAUGUUGUACUCAGGAAAGCACUGAAAAAUGAAGGAUCCACCAUAUUUCUUUAUGGUUUGUCCUAGUAAUUAAACAACUGUACUUUUAAAUUUGAA